rfam:Dyadobacter fermentans DSM 18053, complete genome.
GCAGGGGACGCUGAAAACCUGAAAAAGAGUAGGCU